rnacentral:rRNA from 1 species
AGACUGCGGGCUGCAACUCGCCUGCACGAAGUCGGAAUUGCUAGUAAUCGUAGGUCAGCAUACUACGGUGAAUACGUUCCCGGGCCUUGUACACACCGCCCGUCAAACCAUGAGAGUUGGCAACACCCGAAGUCGGUAGUCUAACCGCAAGGAGGACGCCGCCGAAGGUGGGGUUGAUGAUUAGGGUUAAGUCGUAACAAGGUACC